GAGUUUGAUCAUGGCUCAGGAUGAACGCUAGCGGCAGGCCUAACACAUGCAAGUCGAGGGGUAAGCGUAGCUUGCUACGCCUAGACCGGCGCACGGGUGCGUAACGCGUGUACAAUCUACCUUUUACUGGGGAAUAGCCCGAAGAAAUUUGGAUUAAUGCCCCAUAGUAUAGAGCAGUGGCAUCACAGCACUAUUAAAGCUUCGGUGGUAAGAGAUGAGUACGCGUUCUAUUAGUUAGUUGGUGAGGUAACGGCUCACCAAGGCUAUGAUAGAUAGGGGUUCUGAGAGGGAUGUCCCCCACACUGGUACUGAGAUACGGACCAGACUCCUACGGGAGGCAGCAGUGAGGAAUAUUGGUCAAUGGUCGGAAGACUGAACCAGCCAUGCCGCGUGCAGGAUGACGGCCUUAUGGGUUGUAAACUGCUUUUGUAUGGGAAGAAUAAGGGGUACGUGUACUCUGAUGACGGUACUAUAUGAAUAAGCAUCGGCUAACUCCGUGCCAGCAGCCGCGGUAAUACGGAGGAUGCGAGCGUUAUCCGGAAUCAUUGGGUUUAAAGGGUCUGUAGGCGGGCUAUUAAGUCAGAGGUGAAAGCACUGAGCUCAACUGAGUAACUGCCUUUGAAACUGAUAGUCUUGAAUACUUACGAAGUAGCUGGAAUGUGUAGUGUAGCGGUGAAAUGCUUAGAUAUUACACAGAACACCGAUAGCGAAGGCAUGUUACUAGUAAGGUUAUUGACGCUGAGGGACGAAAGCGUGGGGAGCGAACAGGAUUAGAUACCCUGGUAGUCCACGCUGUAAACGAUGGAUACUAGCUGUUUGCGAGAAAUUGUGAGUGGCUAAGGAAAAGUGAUAAGUAUCCCACCUGGGGAGUACGCACGCAAAGUGUGAAACUCAAAGGAAUUGACGGGGGCCCGCACAAGCGGUGGAGCAUGUGGUUUAAAUUCGAUGAUACGCGAGGAACCUUACCAAGGUUUAAAAUGGGAAGCGACGUAGGUAGAGAUACCUAUUUCUUCGGACGCUUUUCAAGGUGCUGCAUGGUUGUCGUCAGCUCGUGCCGUGAGGUGUCAGGUUAAGUCCUAUAACGAGCGCAACCCCUGCCUUUAUUUGCCAUCGAGUAGAGUCGGGCACUAUAGAGGGACUGCCGGUGCGAAACCGUGAGGAAGGUGGGGAUGACGUCAAAAUCAUCACGGCCCUUACAAUCUUGGGCUACACACGUGCUACAAAUGGUCGUUACGAAAAGCAGGCCGAACGGGUGACCGUGAGGAAUUCUUAAAAAACAUCACAGGUUGGAUUGGGGUUCUGCGGCUGGACUCCGUAAGGCUGGAUCGGCUAGUAUCGGGGCUCAGGCCGGGGCGCGGUAAAGACUUUCCCGGGCCCAGCACGCACCCGCCCUC
rnacentral:rRNA from 1 species